UUCUUUGCAUUAUCACUUCUUUCAUUAUAUAACUAUUACAAAGAGCAUUUCAUUCUCUUUGCAUCCACACUUCUUUCAUUAUCCAACUAUUAGAGCAUCUCCUUUAUAAUAUGAAAAAAAAUUCGUCUUCUUUUAUCUGCUAGAAUAAAAAUGACCUAUGUUGUGAAUAUAUAUGUGUCAUAUAAUUGAUUCUUUGGUAUGGUGGUAUAUAUAAUGGAGAAGCAUUGCUGUAAUGAAUUGUCCUCUCAGAAAAUAUUGGUGUUUCCACGCUCGCAUUCCACCGCUCCCAAGAGAGCUGAAUAUUUAGAAAUUUGCGCUAUAUGUUCUUGUUCGCGGGACGAUUUUAUGGGGAAUGAAUAGAUUGCAAGAGAUGGUAAACUUCAGCGACUACACUGAAAGGGAUCAAAGGUGGAAGAUAAAUCACAUAGUCAAACUCGGCAAGAUGGGGGCUAAGGGUAAAUAUGACUCAUGACAUAUGUAAUACAUUAUGUUUGUGAUAGGGGAAGACUUGUAACAAGAUAUCUUUUAGACUUUAUCAUGUUCAUUACCAAAAUCAUGUCGGCUAUGGCGAAUCAAUGCCCUAUGGUUGUGCAUUGAUCCCACUAGCUGGUAAGAACCUUUAUUUUGUUUAAGUUUUGGAUAAUCAAUUACGAUAAUUGGUGAUUAUAAUGAAAAAUAGGUUUGGCAUGACUA